UGGGGAAUAUUGGACAAUGGGCGAAAGCCUGAUCCAGCAAUGCCGCGUGUGUGAAGAAGGCCUGAGGGUUGUAAAGCACUUUCGUUGGGGAAGAAGGGAAUGCGUUGAAUAGGCGCAUUUUUUGACGGUACCUGAAGAAGAAGCACUGGCUAACUCUGUGCCAGCAGCCGCGGUAAUACAGAGGGUGCAAGCGUUAAUCGGAAUGACUGGGCGUAAAGGGCAUGUAGGUGGCUUUUAAGUUGACUGUGAAAUUUCUGGGCUUAACCUGGGAGCUGCAGUCAAGACUGGAAGGCUAGAGUCUGGGAGAGGGAAGUGGAAUUUCCGGUGUAGCGGUGAAAUGCGUAGAUAUCGGAAAGAACAUCAAUGGCGAAGGCAGCUUCCUGGCCUAAGACUGACACUGAGGUGCGAAAGCGUGGGGAGCAAACAGGAUUAGAUACCCUAGUAGUCCCUGAGCGGGCUGGCAAGGCGCAU
rnacentral:rRNA from 1 species